GCCGCGGCCGCCUCCAUGAAGCGGAAGAGCGAGCGGCGGCCGAACUGGGCCGCCGCGCCCCCCUGCUCGCGGCGCUGCUCGGCGUCCUCGCCCGGAGUGAAGAAGAGUCGCAGCUCCACGUCGCAGGAGCGGCAUCGCCUGGACCUGCAGGAUGACCUGUACCUGGACAUCACCGCUUUUCAUGGAUACUGCUCCAACAAAGAUCGCCUUUGUUUUGCCAUUCUCUACAGCAGACCAAAGAGUUCAUCAAAUGUACAUUAUUUCAGCAUAGAUAAUGAACUUGAAUAUGAGAACUUCUACGCAGAUUUUGGACCACUCAAUCUGGCAAUGGUUUACAGAUAUUGUUGCAAGAUAAAUAAGAAAUUAAAGUCCAUCACAAUGAUGAGGAAGAAAAUUAUUCAUUUUACUGGCUCUGAUCAGAGAAAACAAGCAAAUGCUGCUUUCCUUAUUGGAUGUUAUAUGGUUAUAUAUUUGGGGAGAGCUCCAGAAGAAGCAUAUAGAAUAUUAAUGUGUGGAGCUACAUCCUACAUUCCUUUCAGAGAUGCUGCCUAUGGAAGUUGCAAUUUCUACAUUACACUUCUCGACUGUUUUCAUGCAGUAAAGAAGGCAAUGCAGUAUGACCUCCUUAAUUUCAACUCAUUUAACCUUGAUGAAUAUGAACACUAUGAAAAAGCGGAAAAUGGAGAUUUAAACUGGAUAAUACCAGACCGAUUUAUUGCCUUCUGUGGACCUCAUUCAAGAACCAGACUUGAAAGCGGUUACCACCAACACUCUCCUGAGGCUUAUAUUCCAUAUUUUAAGAAUCACAACGUUUCUACCAUCAUUCGUCUGAAUAAAAGGAUGUAUGAUGCCAAACGCUUUACGAAUGCUGGUUUCGAUCACUAUGAUCUUUUCUUUGCGGAUGGCAGCACCCCUACUGAUGCCAUUGUCAAAGAAUUUCUGGAUAUUUGUGAAAAUGCAGAGGGUGCCAUUGCAGUACAUUGUAAAGCUGGCCUUGGACGAACAGGCACUCUGAUAGCCUGUUACCUCAUGAAGCAUUACAGGAUGACAGCAGCCGAGACCAUUGCUUGGGUCAGAAUCUGCAGACCUGGCUCAGUAAUUGGACCGCAGCAGCAAUUUUUGGUGAUGAAACAGGCAAGCCUCUGGUUGGAAGGUGACUAUUUUCGUCAAAAGUUAAGGGGUCAGGAGAAUGGAAAACACAGAGCAGCUGUCUCAAAACUCCUCUUGGCUGUUGACGACAUUUCAAUCAAUGGAGUCGAGAAUCAAGACAAGCAAGAACCUGAACUGUACAGUGAUGAUGAUGAAAUCCAUGGAGUGACACAAGGGGAUAGACUUCGGGCCCUGAAAAGCAGAAGACAGUCAAAAACAAAUGCUAUUCCCCUCACUAUUUGGGGGAGAGUUAAAGUUGUUAGAUAUUGUCAAGUGGUCCUUACCUCAAAGAAUCAGUCUGAUCCCGACUAUCACGAAGACAGUAAAUCACAUAGUACCAUGACCUUGAUGUGAUCUGCAGGACGCGAAGAGUAAUUCUUCAGUCCAGUGUUCAGAGCUGUAAAACAUCUGAACCUAACAUUUCUGGCAGUGCAGGCAUUACUAAAAGAACCACCAGAUCUGCUUCAAGAAAAAGCAGUUUUAAAAGUCCCUCCAUUUCAAGGACUAAAACAGUCUUGCAUUAAAUAAAAACCUGUGACCAGAACUGAAGGAAGACUCUAGGAACAGAGAACUACAGCAAGACUUAGCACAAUUUCUUUGGAAACAAAGCAAAAUUGCAAAGGCCUUAGCUGCUUUCCACCUAAGAAGUUUAUUCAAUGAAGACAAUGUCCAUGGGAGUUUAAAUAACUACUUGAGUCUGGGCACAAGCAGUGACUUGAAGAAGACCCAGCUCUCUUUUGGUAGAAACGUCUCAAGUUGAACGACAAAGCUGUUAUAAAUUCCGUCUCAGGUGUAAAUAUCAAAGCCCUCUGCUGUCAGGAAAGCUGACCAGUCUGUGUGCUGCCCGUGUGUCCCUGUGAUGGCAAUCAUUUUAGCUGCUGGCCUUCAGAAGUGACGAUCUGAUGGAGGUUUUUUACGUAUUUAUUUUCUGUUCACCCUGUGUCAAAAUUUAUAAAGAGAAAACAGGCAUUACUGAAGUGGUACUUUCUGUAAUUUGAUACUAUUUGGUUUAACCAUCCUCACUUUAGUAUUUGUACUGUUGUUGUACUGGUAACUCCAUUAAGUACCCAAGCUGUUUGUCUUCCACCGAAGAGUGCUUUAUUAACAAGAACCUGUGAAAACCGUGUUUGUAAACUGUUGGAUGUUCUGAUACAAAGUGGGACUUUGGCAACCUAAACUGGAAGAGACUAUGAGGGUAGUAUUAGAGGAAUUGGGAGGGCAACCAGUCACAGAGCUGGAAGGUGAUGGCAAAGUCAUUCCUGUGUGUGGGCGAGGGACUGCAGGAUGGACGCCACAGCUGCCCGCUGAGCAGCUGCCGGGUCAUAGAAAUCAAAGCCCUAGUUCCUUCCAUGCAUGAUAAAAAAAACACAACAAACUUUUGGUGUUUCUCCUUGGAAAUAGCCAUCCCAAAUAAUGGUGGCUUUAAAAAGGGGGGAAAAAAAGGUACUGCUUUAUUAGGGUCUGUCUCUGUAGCAUUGUGGAUUUCUGUUUUUAUGUGAUCAGCCAAAGGCCUUUCACGCCCCCUUUGAUUUCAGUGAGAGUUAUUUGCAUCCGGAUUUCAGUUGUUUGUAAAUAAGAGACUCACCGUUGCCUUUGGUUAGGGACUACAACUAACUCUUUGCAGAGUGCCUUCACCCCCCCCACCCCACCCCCACCACAGAAACACAGCAGAGUCUGUGAUAUAAAGCAAUCACAAAAACAAUUUAUUUGCUGCUAAAACAAAACAGUGGAGCCCCAAAUAGAAUUUUUUGCCUGUCCUGGUUUGAAGAACAGGGGAUACAAUAUGGAAAGGCUAUAGAAGGCACAUGUCUUCACAUUGCAAGAUGAAUGAACCAGGUGAGCAGGCAAUUCCAUUUUUAAAAGCUGCCUUUUUAACAAAACUAAGAACAGUAAGAAGCAGUUGGAAUAAACAGAUCAAAGUCUGUUAAUGCAAAAAGUUACAAGAAGGCAUGGCUCCAUUUUGAUAUUUCCUCUCUUGUGGAGUAAAUGAUAAGGUUGACUGGCUUCGAGGGGAGAUGGCACAUGCCAUCAUCUUGGUCAGACAAGGGGCUCUUCCCCGCCAGGUGUAAUGGGUGUAAUGCCAGUUUUUAAACCCCGGAGACUAGAUCUCAGAGGAAAGGUGGUUUCCUAUCCCUGGAAGUGAACGAGGUACAAAGACCCAUGUACCAAAUGGGAGACAGGAAGACCCCUCUUGGGUAAGCUUUGGAUGGGAAGAGAAACAUUCCACUUGCUGUCUUGUGCUAGGAGACAAUACUCAGUAUUCAGACUGUGUGCCCUUGCAUAAAACAUUGGCUUCUCAGGGCAAUUCUUCUUACUUUGACAGUUUUAAAGGCCAUCUCCUGUUUAAAUAAUCCAGGUAGUUCUGAAAAUCAAACUUCCCUCUGAACUGCCCUUGGUUUGGCUUUUUAUUCCAUCAGAACAAGCUCAGUGUGCUGUCUCCCUCACAGGGAAUAAGCCAUUUUGUGUCCUGGCCAAGAGUGAAAAAUCUGGGCUUCAGUGUUAACCACAGUACUUCUUAUUUUACAAAUUGCCUUUUUGUGUUGGCUGCUCAAGUUACCAGCUAAAAUUGCUAUCACUGUGGCUCUUUCUAAAAAAUCUUUGUACUUAACUGUCUCACUGAAAUGAGUCCUAGGAAACUAGUGAUUUGAUCAAGAAGUGUUCCCUGGAUCACACCAAGACUAGGGUGUGCUUCAGGGGAUUUCAUAGCUCACUGUUCAACUUACUGAGAGCGGAUCUGGAAACCAGGAAGCCUCUGGGUCUCACUGAUGGAACGUUCUUCCUGCUAUGAAUAAGAGCGGACUCUUUUUUCCCCAACAGAAACUUAAACACACCCUGAAUCUUCUGAAAUUCUAACUUCAAGUCCUUGUCAUGGAAAGACUGUUGCUAUGGAAUAUGAAAUAGGGAGAGUCAGAGAGAAUCCUUUAAACUUAAGAGCCUUAAAUAACUUUGAAAGUACACCAAGACAGUUUCCAUUGGAAUUAAAAUUAGAAAUGAAUAUUUUUAGGUGUCCUUGAAGCUUUUUGGGAACUUGUGUCCAAAGUCAGAGACCGUCCAAAGGAAGGGUGUCUGCAAAACUGGGUAUCUAGAAGUAUAGACAGACUUCUAUUUUGUAAUGCUAAAAAAAAGCUAGAAAUCUCUUAGUUGUCCACGAAGAGGGGUAAAUCCUGAGCAGUGUCUCACCAAAGCAAGUAGCCUUCCUUGUCCACUUUGCCACUUCUGGGUGGCACGCUGCUCUCCUAGUCUCCAGCAUUCAUCUGUUCCAAACUUGGCCCCAUUAGCCUGUCACCCACCUACUUCAUCCUCUUCUCUCCUUUCCCAGGGGUGAUUUCUACUCUUUUCUUGGGCCCAGACAAUUUUUAGAGGAGUUCCCCAGUGUUCUCAUGAGGCAACUGCAUUUGGAGCCUAAUGGCUGGUUGUGCGCACCAUGCGGGCCUCCAGGCCUUGGGGUGUGUGGUGCCAAGAGCUCCUGGAGGCUUUCCUUUGCUUGAAUCACCACCAUUCAUGGCAAAUGAGCAAUGCUCUCUUUUGAUGUUGGUUCUAAAAGUAGCUUGUUUCUCUUCGUACAUUUUUAAAAGUAAUUAUUGCAGCUUGGAAGGCAGUGCUCAUCAAAGACAACUUUAAAAACAUUUUAAUUCUUUACUAGUUACCUCCUGCUAAAGCUGUUCUGCUAAGGCUGGCUCCUGCUCUUCCAUUUCUCUAAAUCUGAGUACUCAUGUCGCCAAGUGGAAAUACUACAGAUGACUUUUAAAAACUGGACAAUUCACGUAUACUGUGUAGGACAUUACCUCCUUAAUUGCCCAGUAGAAUUAACUGUCAGCAGAUGUGUCCAUCUGAUUAUAGUAUUGCAGUUUUAUAUUAAUAAUUUGCAGUUUUAUCUAACCUGCACUCGUGUACAGAUUAUUAAAAGUUUUAAAAUGUAACUGAUGAAUCAGUAUUUGAUCAAUCACUGUCUUGAUUUUUUUAUUAAAAUGUAUAUUUCUAAUCAUAUUUUAUAAAGCCUAGAGAACUGGUUGAAUGUUUAUUUUCCUGAAGGUAUUUUUAAGAUAAAGCUUCAUAAUGGCCUGUAAACUUUGCAUAUCUAUGUAGUUUGAUAUAUAUUGUUGAGUUUGAAAAUCUUGUGUAUUGUACUGGUUUUAUACAAAAUAUUGAAUAGUGAAAGUUGUAUAAUUAUAAUCAUAUAAUUAAAAGUAUUAACCAAA